rnacentral:rRNA from 1 species
CCUACGGGAGGCAGCAGUGGGGAAUAUUGGACAAUGGGGGGAACCCUGAUCCAGCCAUGCCGCGUGUGUGAAGAAGGCCCUCGGGUUGUAAAGCACUUUCAGUGAGGAAGAACGCCUGGUGGUUAAUACCCAUCAGGAAAGACAUCACUCACAGAAGAAGCACCGGCUAACUCCGUGCCAGCAGCCGCGGUAAUACGGAGGGUGCGAGCGUUAAUCGGAAUUACUGGGCGUAAAGCGCGCGUAGGUGGCUUGAUAAGCCGGUUGUGAAAGCCCCGGGCUCAACCUGGGAACGGCAUCCGGAACUGUCAAGCUAGAGUGCAGGAGAGGAAGGUAGAAUUCCCGGGGUAGCGGUGAAAGGCGUAGAGAUCGGGAGGAAUACCAGUGGCGAAGGCGGCCUUCUGGACUGACACUGACACUGAGGUGCGAAAGCGUGGGUAGCAAACAGGAUUAGAUACCCUGGUAGUC